rnacentral:lncRNA from 1 species
CCAGGGCCGUAACUACAUUGAGGCAAAUGAGGCAAAUGCCUCAUGUUGGAAAUUUCCAAAACAAAACAAAAAAACAAAAAAACUGAAACAGGAUUGUCUUCAUAUCAACCUGAAUUGUUUUCACGGAAAGUGUCUUGCAAGUCUCUCUGAUGUCUCCCGUGCAUGUUUUUCGACAUCCGUGUUUCUAUUUUACUUUUAGUUUUCAGAGUUGAUGGUCUAUUGUUUGUACUUCUGUGUCCGGGGUUUGUCUUUUGUUCAUUUAUUGUCCUACUUUAUAACUAUAGUCUGCAGAGUGUUGAUUUUCAUUCGUAAACUGUGGUUUUGCCAUGUUUCAUGUCCACCGAUGUCCAGACAUUGUACGAGAAACUAUUUUAAGAAUAUACAAUGCUACUGGACAUAAAAAAAAUUGUCGUUUCUGCAUGGAGAAUUGAACUUGAUAUCAAAGAAUACAAAACUGGCUCUUUUUUGUAGAU